rnacentral:ncRNA from 1 species
AGUAAACUUAUGAUAAAGAAAGUAACGUAAGUAAAGUUCAAAGCGAGUUAAGGUUGGUGGAAGCUUAAUAAUUUUUAUUUAUAGUGAAAAGAGCUUUUGAAGUUGUUAGAGGAAAUUAGUAUUCUAACAGGUAGCCUUUCCUUAAAGGAUUUGAGUGGACAAUUAAUUGUCAAAAAGGGUGGCACCACGGAAAUUUUCGUCUCUUUA